rnacentral:rRNA from 1 species
UAAUACGUAGGUCCCGAGCGUUGUCCGGAUUUAUUGGGCGUAAAGCGAGCGCAGGCGGUUAGAUAAGUCUGAAGUUAAAGGCUGUGGCUUAACCAUAGUACGCUUUGGAAACUGUUUAACUUGAGUGCAAGAGGGGAGAGUGGAAUUCCAUGUGUAGCGGUGAAAUGCGUAGAUAUAUGGAGGAACACCGGUGGCGAAAGCGGCUCUCUGGCUUGUAACUGACGCUGAGGCUCGAAAGCGUGGGGAGCAAACAGGAUUAGAUACCCUGGUAGUCCACGCCGUAAACGAUGAGUGCUAGGUGUUAGACCCUUUCCGGGGUUUAGUGCCGCAGCUAACGCAUUAAGCACUCCGCCUGGGGAGUACGACCGCAAGGUUG